GGGCGAGGGCGAGAGACGGAGGGAGGGAGCGAGCGAGGCGGACCAGACAGACAGACAGGCGGGCGGGCGGGCAGAGCGAGCCACCCGCCAGGCUGCGCUCAGCCCCGCUCGCAGCGGAGAGAGCAGAAGGCAGGAGGAGGGAGGGGAGGAGGGGGAGGGAGGGAGAGAGGGAAUCCAGCUACCACCACCCAAAGCCAGCGUCUGCUUUCUGUCCUCAUUUCCUUUUCCCACCCAGCUUGGAGAGCAGAGAAAGGCAGAGAGAGCGAGAAAUAGAGACAGUCUGAGAGACAGACAGACAGCCAGAGAGAGCGGGAGGGAGGAGGGCGGAGGAGGAGGAGCAGGAGGACUACGCGGGGCGCGUUCCCUCCCAGCAGCCGGGCGCCCGCGUCGCUGCCACCGCCGGAAGACAGACGCCCCCUAAAACCCCUCGCCUGGCUCGGACCCACGGAGCCGGCAGCCCAGCACUCCGAUGGGAGCUUGCCUGAUUGUCAAGCCAUCAGCCUGGACCCCAGAGCCUACCCAGCUGAGCAUGUGCAGAGGGCCCCGAGUGCGGGGCGACACUCAGGCCAUUACAGAGACCACCCUGGAGAUGCUGAUGAAGACAGGCCUUUCCUGCUGAGCCGGGCCUGUCUGCACAGCCUGCUCAGAAAGGGGAACUGAGGCUCAUGGAUAUACAGUGAGUCCUACCUCCUAGCCUGAGGACUCUUCCCUGCGCCUUGAUGACCUGAGAGAACUGGGAGGAGAAAGGGGUUGUGACAAUGACCAGGACUCAGGGCAGAGGUGGAAACCAGAGUGCCUGAUGUGUGCAGCUGCUGACCCCCCAGGACACCUCUCUACCGGAGUCUGUGGAAGCAGAGAACUGGGAGGCCAAGGCGCUGUCCACGCCCCGAGGCCUGGGCUCAGGCCGAAGUUGCUCCACAGCACCCCCAGCUGACAGCCAGCGACUGGCAGAGCCCCCAGGCACGGGGGCCCUCUCUCUUCCAGAGAUCUCCAGUGUGACAGCCCAGGCGGCAGAGCCGAGGGUCCUGGUCCCGGCUUCUCGCACCCUCAUGUCAGCCCCGGCCCCGCCCGGCGGCCUGCGGAGGACAAGGUCAGGAUGCGUGUGAAGCCCCAGGGCCUGGUGGUGACUUCCAGUGCCGUGUGCAGCUCUCCUGACUACCUCCGGGAGCCCAAGUACUACCCCGGCGGCCCCCCCACCCCCCGGCCCCUGCUUCCCACCCGGCCCCCUGCCAGCCCACCCGACAAGGCCUUCUCCACCCACGCCUUCUCCGAGAACCCACGCCCACCCCCACGCCGGGACCCCAGCACCCGGCGCCCACCAGUCCUUGCCAAGGGGGACGACCCGCUGCCCCCACGGGCAGCCCGUCCUGUCUCACAGGCCCGCUGCCCCACACCGGCCGGAGACGGCAGCAGCUCCCGACGCUGCUGGGACAACGGGCGGGUGAACCUGCGACCAGUGGUGCAGCUGAUUGACAUCAUGAAGGACCUGACACGCCUCUCCCAGGACCUGCAGCACAGUGGUGUACACCUGGACUGUGGUGGGCUCCGACUGAGCCGCCCGCCUGCACCACCACCCGGCGACCUACAGUACAGCUUCUUCUCCUCACCCAGUUUGGCCAACAGCAUCCGUAGCCCUGAGGAGCGAGCCACCCCACACGCCAAGUCAGAGCGGCCCAGCCACCCCCUCUACGAGCCUGAGCCUGAGCCUAGGGAUAGUCCCCAGCCUGGCCAAGGCCAUAGUCCCGGAGCCACGGCUGUGGCCACGGGUCUGCCCCCAGAGCCUGAGCCAGACAGCACUGAUUACUCAGAACUUGCUGACGCCGACAUCCUUAGUGAGCUGGCCUCCCUCACUUGCCCAGAGGCCCAGCUGCUAGAGGCCCAGGCCCUCGAGCCACCAUCUCCUGAGCCAGAGCCUCAGCUCCUGGACCCCCAGCCCCGUUUCCUGGACCCGCAGGCACUAGAGCCGCUCGGGGAAGCUCUGGAGCUGCCACCCCUGCAACCUCUUGCUGAUCCUCUGGGGCUGCCGGGCCUGGCUCUCCAGGCCCUGGACACCCUGCCUGACUCCUUGGAGUCGCAGCUGCUUGACCCCCAGGCACUCGACCCCCUGCCCAAGCUGCUUGACGUCCCAGGUCGCCGUCUGGAGCCCCAGCAGCCCCUGGGGCACUGCCCACUGGCCGAGCCCUUGCGCCUGGACUUGUGCUCACCGCACGGCCCCCCCGGGCCUGAGGGUCACCCCAAGUACGCCUUGCGGCGUACUGAUAGGCCAAAGAUCCUGUGUCGCCGGCGGAAAGCCGGACGGGGGCGCAAGGCGGACGCCGGACCCGAGGGCCGCCUACUGCCCCUGCCUAUGCCCACGGGGCUGGCAGCCGCCCUGGCCGAACCCCCACCGCCACCGCCGCCUCCACCCCCUGCCCUGCCAGGCCCAGGCCUGGUCUCAGUCCCAGAAUUGAAGCCAGAAUCUUCCCAGACCCCAGUGGUCUCUACCCGCAAAGGCAAGUGCCGAGGCGUGCGGCGCAUGGUGGUGAAGAUGGCCAAGAUCCCCGUAUCGCUCGGGCGACGGAACAAGACCACAUACAAAGUGUCUUCCUUGAGCAGCAGCCUGAGUGUGGAGGGCAAGGAGCUAGGUCUGCGUGUGUCAGCUGAGCCCACCCCGCUGCUGAAGAUGAAGAACAACGGGCGGAACGUGGUAGUGGUCUUCCCACCCGGUGAGAUGCCCAUUAUUCUUAAGCGUAAGCGCGGCCGCCCUCCUAAGAACCUGCUGCUGGGCCCUGGCAAGCCCAAGGAGCCAGCUGUGGUGGCGGCCGAGGCAGCCACUGUGGCAGCAGCCACCAUGGCCAUGCCAGAGGUGAAGAAACGACGGCGGCGGAAGCAGAAGCUGGCGUCUCCCCAACCGUCCUAUGCGGCAGACGCCAACGACAGCAAGGCUGAGUACUCAGACGUCCUGGCCAAGCUGGCCUUUCUGAACCGCCAGAGCCAGUGCGCUGGACGGUGCUCGCCACCCCGCUGCUGGACACCCAGUGAGCCGGAGUCAGUGCACCAGGCCCCUGACACCCAGAGCAUCUCCCACUUCCUGCAUCGUGUGCAGGGCUUCCGGCGGCGUGGGGGCAAAGCAGGUGGUUUUGGUGGCCGGGGUGGGGGCCAUGCGGCCAAGUCAGCCCGAUGCUCCUUCAGUGACUUCUUUGAGGGCAUUGGCAAGAAAAAGAAGGUGGUGGCCGUGGCAGCCGCUGGGGUGGGGGGUCCUGGCCUUACCGAGUUGGGGCACCCACGCAAACGGGGCCGGGGGGAGGUAGACGCUGUGACUGGGAAGCCAAAGCGCAAGAGACGGUCCCGGAAGAAUGGGACUCUGUUCCCAGAGCAGGUGCCCAGUGGCCCAGGCUUUGGGGAGGCGGGUGCCGAGUGGGCCGGAGAUAAGGGUGGUGGCUGGGCCCCUCACCAUGGGCACCCAGGCGGGCAAGCUGGCCGAAACUGUGGGUUUCAGGGGACCGAGGCCCGGGCCUUUGCCUCCACUGGGCUGGAGAGCGGAGCCUCAGGCCGUGGCAGCUACUACAGCACGGGCGCACCCUCAGGCCAGACCGAGCUCAGCCAGGAGCGCCAAAACCUCUUCACCGGCUACUUUCGCUCGCUGCUCGAUUCGGAUGACUCCUCCGAUCUCUUGGACUUUGCCCUCUCAGCCUCUCGCCCAGAGUCCCGGAAGGCAUCAGGCACCUAUGCAGGGCCACCCACCAGCGCCCUACCUGCCCAGCGGGGCCUUGCCACCUUCCCUAGCCGGGGAGCCAAGGCCAGCCCAGUGGCAGUGGGUAGUGGUGGGGCUGGGGCGGACACCUCCUUCCAGCCUGUCCUGCCCACACGCCAGACCUUCCCACCAGGACGGGCAGCGAGCUAUGGGCUAACUCCGGCCACUUCAGACUGCCGGGCAGCCGAGACCUUCCCCAAGCUGGCUCCCCCGCCCUCAGCCGUGGCCCGCUCACCUACCACCCACCCGCCUGCCAACACCUACCUGCCCCAGUAUGGCGGCUACGGGGCUGGACAAAGCGUAUUUGCCCCGGCUAAGCCCUUUACAGGCCAGGACUGCGCUAACAGCAAGGACUGCAGCUUUGCCUAUGGCAGCGGCAACAGCCUCCCUGCCUCACCCAGCAGCGCCCACAGCGCCGGCUAUGCCCCACCGCCUACCGGGGGCCCCUGCCUGCCACCAAGCAAGGCCUCUUUCUUCAACAGCUCUGAGGGGGCCCCCUUCUCUGGUUCAGCCCCCACGCCCCUGCGCUGUGACAGCCGGGCCAGCACAGUCUCGCCUGGUGGCUACAUGGUGCCCAAGGGCACCACAGCCUCUGCCACCUCUGCAGCCUCUGCCGCCUCCUCCUCCUCUUCCUCCUUCCAGCCCUCGCCCGAGAACUGUCGCCAGUUUGCGGGGGCUUCUCAGUGGCCUUUCCGGCAGGGCUAUGGAGGCCUGGACUGGGCCUCAGAGGCCUUUAGUCAGCUCUACAAUCCCAGUUUUGACUGCCACGUCAGCGAACCCAACGUGAUCCUGGACAUCUCCAACUACACACCACAGAAGGUGAAGCAGCAGACGGCUGUGUCGGAGACCUUCUCCGAGUCAUCCUCCGACAGCACCCAGUUCAAUCAGCCGGUCGGUGGCGGCGGGUUUCGGCGUGCCAACAGCGAGGCCUCAAGUAGUGAGGGCCAGUCGAGCCUGUCCAGCCUGGAGAAACUGAUGAUGGACUGGAACGAGGCAUCAUCUGCCCCCGGCUACAACUGGAACCAGAGUGUCCUCUUUCAGAGUAGCUCCAAGCCGGGCCGUGGACGGCGGAAGAAGGUGGACCUGUUCGAGGCUUCACAUCUGGGCUUCCCAACAUCCGCCUCUGCCGCUGCCUCAGGCUACCCAUCCAAACGGAGCACUGGGCCCCGGCAGCCGCGAGGUGGACGGGGCGGUGGGGCCUGCUCAGCCAAGAAGGAACGGGGUGGCGCAGCGGCCAAAGCCAAGUUCAUCCCCAAGCCACAGCCGGUCAACCCACUGUUCCAGGACAGUCCUGACCUAGGCCUGGACUACUAUAGCGGGGACAGCAGCAUGUCACCACUGCCCUCACAGUCGAGGGCCUUCGGCGUGGGAGAGCGAGACCCCUGUGACUUCAUAGGACCCUACUCCAUGAACCCGUCCACGCCUUCCGAUGGCACCUUCGGCCAAGGCUUCCACUGCGACUCGCCCAGCCUAGGUGCUCCCGAGCUUGAUGGCAAGCAUUUCCCACCGCUGGCCCACCCGCCCACGGUGUUCGACGCCGGCCUGCAGAAGGCAUACUCGCCCACCUGCUCGCCUACACUGGGCUUCAAGGAAGAGCUGCGGCCACCGCCCACCAAGCUGGCUGCCUGCGAGCCCCUCAAGCAUGGGCUCCAGGGGGCCAGCCUGGGCCACGCAGCUGCAGCCCAGGCCCACCUGAGCUGCCGGGACCUGCCAUUGGGCCAGGCCCACUACGAUUCCCCCAGCUGCAAGGGCACAGCAUAUUGGUACCCUCCAGGCUCGGCUGCCCGCAGCCCGCCCUAUGAAGGCAAGGUGGGUACAGGGCUGCUGGCUGACUUCCUGGGCAGGACGGAGGCCGCGUGCCUCAGUGCCCCUCACCUGGCUAGCCCACCAGCCACGCCCAAGGCCGACAAGGAGCCACUGGAAAUGGCCCGGCCCCCUGGCCCACCCCGUGGCCCUGCUGCAGCCGCUGCUGGCUAUGGCUGCCCACUCCUUAGUGACUUGACCCUGUCCCCCGUGCCGAGGGACUCGCUGCUGCCCCUGCAGGACACCGCCUACAGGUACCCAGGCUUUAUGCCCCAGGCGCAUCCUGGCCUGGGAGGGGGCCCCAAGAGCGGCUUCCUGGGGCCCAUGGCGGAACCUCACCCUGAGGACACAUUCACCGUCACGUCCCUGUAGUGCCAACUGAAGUGCCGACUGGACCGCGAGGUUUUGUUCCUGGGUGAGUCUGGGGAUGCGGGCGCAGUGGGCAGAAGCCUGGGGGUGGGGAGAGGACAUCAGAGCUUAGUCAAGGACAGAAGUAUGGAGUGCAGGAAGCAGAUGCAGGAUUUAAGGGCAAGGCUGGGGACCGACAGCAGGGCAUAGGGUCUGAGGAUUCGCUGUUGCGGACAGCCUCAGAAGGAGAUGGGGUACUUGGGCUGGGAACUCGGCAGAGGGCUUGGACUUUCAGGGGGUCUUGUUAAUUGAAAUGGCCAGAGGACUAUACACUGGAUGGGUCCCCGUAGUUUGGUUCAUCAAGCUUUCAAUUCUUUGUUCGUGCUAUGUCUUGGAUAGGAAGUAAGUAUUUCCCAGGAAAUACGCUGAUAAGGGCGGGCAUUUACAUUGCCCUGUGUGAGACAGGUGAAGGGAGGAGCAGGUUGGAUGGUCGUCUACCCAGGGCCUAUCCAGAGCACCAGCCCUGCUGGCACCCCCAUUUCCCUGGGAACUUCAUCGAUUCUAGGAGGCAGCCUGGUGAGGGCCAGGCCAAGAGUGGCCAGUAUGGCAUGGUCUCACACUCUGCGAGGGCUUCACAGGAUGGCCCAAAGUGUCUUCCCUUGGCCUCUCAAGGUACCCCCAAAGGCUAUUUUCCAACUUGGCCUGAGAUAGGCUAGGUGUGGCCAGGAGCAUAUGGGGUAGGGACCCAGAAGUGGAGAAGAGGUGCUGGGAUCCCACUGUCCCUGCAAACCUGCAACCAGUGAGUCUAUCUUUAGGCAAGGUAUUUUGACCCUAGAAAAGCCAGUCCCUUUCCUGAAGCCAAAGGCUUUUCUGAGAGUACAGUUAAAGAGUGUUAAAUGUUUCGAUACUGUUUUUAUCAGGUACUGUGACCUCAUUAGUUGGAGUCAGUUUUAGUAUUCUCAAGAUUGGGUGUUUUAAAAAAGGAAAAUAAAAGACAGAAAAAUGCCCCCAAAAUGAUCAAAGAGAACAAGGUGGAAGGAGCCAUCUUCUUGAAGAACAGCCUGCUCCAGAAAUACAGCCGCCACUGGCCCCGCUUUUGGACAAUAGAUCUGUCACAAAAUUGUCCCAGAUGUGGUAGUGGGUGGCAGGGCAGGCUGGGGGCAUGCCUGCGCCCCUCACCCUUCACCUUUGCUGCCACUGAAGCUUCCUGGGAGUUUCUCUUCCUGGAGGAGUAGCUGGGCUCCUGGAAAGUCCCAUCCGUGCUCUGGGAGGCCAUUCAAGGCCAGGGUGACUCAGGGUCCUGAAGUCAUGUCAGUGGAAACUUGUUGCCCGCUCUCUGCCAGACCCCAGCUCCCCCGGUGCCUGAAGGUAACAAAGGGCAGCAUGCGGGAGUCAGAAGGCCUCCGGGAGGAUCAUUCCCAGAUUGGCCACCAACUUGCCACAUGCCCUUGACCAAGCUUUUGUCCCUCUCUGUGCCUCAGUUUCCCUAUCUUUUCAAGGAAAUUUACUUUGAUAAUCCCUUAGGCUCUCACAGCUCUGUAUGGCAGAGACAGUGAAGCAAACCUUUUUUUUUUUUUUUUUUUUGGCAGUAUCUUUUCCUUCCUAAUGAAGCCAGGCCAAGAUUAAAACGGCCUUCCAUUCCCCAUGCAUCUCAUUGCAAGCAGCAGAACCUCAGAUCUGAAGCAGGCCAGGGAGAAGCUGCUUAGGGUUUAAAAUGUCAAACUGUUGAUCCUUCUCACUGGAGGGGAGAUGUCUCAUGGAUAAUCCAGAAAUGUGAAAUAAUCCAAAAACCGUUCCUCCCAGGCUCUGGGUGGGAAAAUGGACGGGUGUGGGGGCUGGGUGUUUGGGCAGGUCACAGCCCAGUGAAAUACAUAAUGGAACCACCCAGUGAGGCCUGAACGCAGGAGGAACUGGGAUGCCAUCCAGCCCCACAUUCUGGCCCUGCUCCCCACUCAGGGCUGGGAGUUAACUGCGCUGUCCUCAGACCAAUGCAUUCCAUUGUUCUAGAGACAUCUGUCCAGCACCCACUAGAAGCCAGGCAUUGGGGGCACCACAGUGAACACCACAAAUGAGGAACAAAAUGGCAUUGGUAAGAAGAGGAUUGGAUUUAGAAGAAAUAAAAGCAGUGGUUCACACCUGUGCUGUGUGCUGAGGCCCUGCCCUCCCCAUGAUGUCAUUCCUCAGAACAGCCUAAGUUGGAGGAAUUACUAAACUCAUCAUGACAUGAGGAGCUUUCAGAAAACCAACGCCAAGAUCCCUCCCAGCGUCCACAUCGUCCUUUGGCAGGAGCGCCUGCCCCUCUGCCUCCCACCCUGCCCCCUACGCCCCUUGCAGACCCAUCUCCCUCCACCCCCUCCCGCCCAUCUCCUCCACGCAGAAGCCGAAGGUGAGCCCUUUCUGCACAAAACCAGCAAUUGUAAAUACUUUUUAAAAAUGUACAAAACUUAAAAACAAAACACAGUUUUAGAAAAAGACAAAAAAAAAAGAGAGAGAGAGCGAGAGAGCGAGCGUGUGCAAGAGGUUGCGAGCGGGGCCCCGAGGUGUCCAGAGCCCCUGCAAGUAUGCACUGAGAAAUUUAUCUACAGGUCGUUUGACAAAAAUGAACAAUAUCCUAUUUAUUGUAUAUACUGUUUUAUUAUAAAUCGUGGAUUGUAUAUUGCAUUCUGUAAACCUGCUGUGGUCCCGUGGUGUGCAAAUUCGCAUGGUGGGGGGGGAGGGAGAAGAACCUCUUGCGGGAGCUUUUUUUUUCUUUCUUAUUUUUCACUCUUUUGGGUUUUCUCUUCUGUUGUUGUUGUUGUUGUUUUCUGUUGGCAGGACACACCCAAAGAUCCAAGUUUGUAUUAAAAAGAAAUGAAAAAAAGCAAAAAAAAAAAAAAAAAAA